AUGAGUGCCGGGGAUCCCGCCGGCGAUGCGGGGCCCAGCUCCCGCCGGGCCGGGGCGGCCGCGCGCCCGCGGCGGUUCCCGACGGCGGCGCAGCCGGAGGUCAUGCGCGCGGCGGAGAAGGACGACAGCUACGCCGCCCACGUCACCGAGGCCUGCCGCGACGCCUUCCGCCACCUCUUCGGUACCAGGGUUGCCGUUGCUUACCAGAACGAGAUAAAAUUGCUUGGGCAGUCCCUCUAUUACUUGCUAACAACUGGUUCUGGCCAGCAAACACUCGGAGAAGAAUAUUGUGAUAUAUCUCAGGUUGCAACCUCACAUGGGCUUCCACCGACACCUGCUAGGCGGAUGCUUUUCAUUUUGUAUCAAACUACUGUGCCCUAUCUCGCUGAAAGAAUCAGUUCGAGAAUUGUCUCCCGUGGUAUUUACAUGGAUGACUCUCAGUUUGAUAAUCAUCAUGAAAAUGAUAAUCCUAGUAGAGGCAUAACAGAAUCCUCUACAAAUACGAAUGAGUCUUCGAGAAGCUUGAGUUUUCCCAUGCUCUCGAGGUUGAGAAGCAAAGCGCAUGCCUUUUGGCUAUGGGUAGUUCAGAAAUGGCCUUCGAUGCUGCCGCUUGGUCAAGAUUUUAUACAGUUGGCUAUACGGACAAACCUGAUGUUCUUCUACUUUGAAGGAUUAUAUUAUCAUUUAUCAAAGCGAGGAGCUGGUAUUCAUUAUGUAUUCAUUGGUAAGCCAAUGAAUCAGAGGCCCAGGUACCAAAUUUUGGGUAUCUUUUUGCUGAUCCAGUUGUGUAUUCUUGGUGCUGAAAGACUCCGAAGAAGUAACUUAUCAUCAAUAGCUAGUUCCAUUAAUCAAAUUUCGUCCGGAAGCUAUCCUUCAUCUACAGGUCGGAGUGUCCCUGUUGUGAAUGAAGAUGGAAAUAUUAUCAGUGACAUCCGUCAUGGCAAAGCUGUAGAUUUGGCUUCUGGUUCAGAGGCAUCCAGUAGCAAGAGCAAGUGCACUCUCUGUCUCAGUACCCGGCAGAAUCCUACUGGCACAACCUGCGGACAUGUCUUCUGCUGGAACUGCAUAAUGGAGUGGUGCAAUGAGAAGCCUGAAUGCCCCCUAUGCAGAACUCCUAUUACCCAUUCAAGUUUAAUUUGUAUAUAUCAUUCAGAUUUCUAG
rnacentral:rRNA from 1 species